AGUGAACGUUGGCGGCGUGGAUUAGGCAUGCAAGUCGAACGCGAACGACUCCUUCGGGGGACUAGUAGCGUGGCGAAAGGGGCAGUAAUACAUAGGUAACCUACCCUUCGGACCGGGAUAUACGGUAGAAAUGCCGGGCAAUACUGGACGUCGUUCGGGAGUGACAUCUCUCCUGAACGAAAGGGUUUACUCCGCCGAAGGAGGGGCCUAUGCACUACCAGCUAGUUGGUGAGGUAACGGCUCACCAAGGCUACGACGGUUAGGGGGUGUGAGAGCAUGGCCCUCGCCACUGGGACUGAGAUACUGCCCAGACUCCUACGGGAGGCUGCAGUCGAGAAUCUUCGGCAAUGGGCGAAAGCCUGACCGAGCGACGCCGCGUGGUGGAAGAAGGCCCUUCGGGUUGGUUAAACAACCCUGUUUGGGGGGGGAACGAAUUUUGAGUGAACCCCUGAGGAAGCACGGGCUAAGUUCGUGCCAGCAGCCGCGGUAAU
rnacentral:rRNA from 1 species